AUGCAUAUGAUGAGUUAACUCGGAUUCCCCUUCAAGACGAAAUGGGUGAUGAAAGCUCGAGUUUUCUGAUGCG